rnacentral:rRNA from 1 species
GACGAACGCUGGCGGCGUGCUUAACACAUGCAAGUCGAACGAAGUGGCGAACGGGUGAGUAAAGCGUAAUAAACCUGCCCUUCAGAGGGGAAAAACCGUUGGAAAAGACUGCUAAUACCGCAUACUGAAGGAGGGGCAUGCGUCGGAUUGGGUAGUUGGAGGGGUAACGGCCCACAAAGGCGAUGGUCAGUAGCCGGGCUGGGAGGAUGAACGGCCACAUUGGGACUGGGACACGGCCCAGACUCCUACGGGAGGCAGCAGGGGGGAAUCUUCCGCAAUGGACGAAAGUCUGACGGAGCAACGCCGCGUGAGUGAUGACGGCCUUCGGGUUGUAAAGCUCUGUUAAUCGGGACGCGGUACCGGAAUAGAAAGCCACGGCUAACUACGUGCCAGCAGCCGCGGUAAUUC